AAUGGGGGAAACCCUGAUGCAGCGACGCCGCGUGAACGAUGAAGCCCUUCGGGGUGUAAAGUUCUUUCGGCAGGGACGAUAAUGACGGUACCUGCAGAAGCAGCUGCGGCUAACUACGUGCCAGCAGCCGCGGUAAUACGUAGGCAGCAAGCGUUGUUCGGAAUUACUGGGCGUAAAGAGUGCGUAGGCGGUUGGCUAAGUUUGGUGUGAAAUCUCCCGGCUCAACUGGGAGGGUGCGCCGAAAACUGGCUGGCUAGAGUGCGGGAGAGGAUAGUGGAAUUCCUGGUGUAGCGGUGAAAUGCGUAGAUAUCAGGAGGAACACCUGAGGUGUAGACGGCUAUCUGGACCGUAACUGACGCUGAGGCACGAAAGCGUGGGGAGCAAA
rnacentral:rRNA from 1 species